UCCCUGGUGGCUCAGAGGUUAAAGCGUCUGCCUGCAAUGCAAGAGACCUGGGUUCAAUCCCUGGGUUGGGAA
rnacentral:tRNA from 1 species